AUGCACGCUGGCGGCGUGCCUAAUACCUGCCAGUCGCGCGAACAGACGAGGAGCUUGCUCCUCUGACGUUAGCGGCGGACGGGUGAGUAACACGUGGAUAACCUACCUAUAAGACUGGGAUAACUUCGGGAAACCGGAGCUAAUACCGGAUAAUAUAUUGAACCGCAUGGUUCAAUAGUGAAAGACGGUUUUGCUGUCACUUAUAGAUGGAUCCGCGCCGCAUUAGCUAGUUGGUAAGGUAACGGCUUACCAAGGCAACGAUGCGUAGCCGACCUGAGAGGGUGAUCGGCCACACUGGAACUGAGACACGGUCCAGACUCCUACGGGAGGCAGCAGUAGGGAAUCUUCCGCAAUGGGCGAAAGCCUGACGGAGCAACGCCGCGUGAGCGAUGAAGGUCUUCGGAUCGUAAAACUCUGUUAUUAGGGAAGAACAAAUGUGUAAGUAACUAUGCACGUCUUGACGGUACCUAAUCAGAAAGCCACGGCUAACUACGUG
rnacentral:rRNA from 1 species